CACAUUAAAUGAAGAUUAUGGCAUGAAUCCCCUGCCUUCCACUCAGUGCCAGUGCACGCUGGAGUGAGAGUUGCCUCCU
rnacentral:lncRNA from 1 species